rnacentral:tRNA from 1 species
CAGGGCGUAGCAUAAUAGAAAAGCAUCUCCCUUACACUGAGAAGAUAUCCCUGCAAGUUGGAUCUCCCUGA